CAGACUAUAUUUUCAGGGAUCAUUCUACAGUAUGUGACUAAAGAAGUUUCUCUUCUGAUUGUGUAGUGCACCCAAAACCAUGAGGAGUCAAGAGUAUCCUCUCCUGAAAGUGAAGCCAGUUCUAGGUGUUGUUUUUGCAACUGCUUUUUGUCAUUGUUGAUAGUACUUCCCUUCCUUUGGAAGGGUUAGAGGGAGAGGAUGCAAUCUGAGUGGU